rnacentral:rRNA from 1 species
AUUGAACGCUGGCGGCAGGCCUAACACAUGCAAGUCGAACGGUAACAGGAAGCAGCUUGCUGCUUUACUGACGAGUGGCGGGCGGGUGAGUAAUGUCUGGGAAACUGCCUGAUGGAGGGGGAUAACUAGUGGAAACGGUAGCUAAUACCGCAUAACGUCGCAAGACCAAAGAGGGGGACCUUCGGGCCGCUUGCCAUCGGCUGAGCCAAGAUCGGAUUAGCUAGUAGGUGGGGUAACGGCUCACCAAGGCGACGAUCCCUAGCUGGUCUGAGAGGAUGACCAGCCACACUGGAACUGAGACACGGUCCAGACUCCUACGGGAGGCAGCAGUGGGGAAUAUUGCACAAUGGGCGCAAGCCUGAUGCAGCCAUGCCGCGUGUAUGAAGAAGGCCUUCGGGUUGUAAAGUACUUUCAGCGGGGAGGAAGAGAGUAAAGCUAAUACCUUUGCUCAUUGACGUUACCCGCAGAAGAAGCACCGGCUAACUCCGUG